CCUACGAGUGGCAGCAGUGGGGAAUAUUGCACAAUGGGGGAAACCCUGAUGCAGCGACGCCGCGUGAGUGAAGAAGUAAUUCGGUACGUAAAGCUCUAUCAGCAGGGAAGAAAAUUACGGUACCUGAAUAAGAAGCCCCGGCUAACUAAGUGCCAGCAGCCGCGGUAAUCCGUAGGGCGAAAGCGGUAUCCGGGUUUACUGGGUGUAAAGGGCGCGUUGACGGUGCGCCAAGUCUGGAGUGAAAUGCCGAAGCGUAACUGAGGAACUGCUUUGGAAACUGGCGAACUAGAGUGCGGGAGGGGUAAGCGGAAUGCCUAGUGUAGCGGUGAAAUGCGUAGAUAUUAGGAGGAACACCGGUGGCGAAGGCGGCUUACUGGACCGUAACUGACGUUGAGGCGCGAAAGCGUGGGGAGCAAACAGGAUUAGAUACCCGUGUAGUC
rnacentral:rRNA from 1 species